rnacentral:lncRNA from 1 species
CCCUGUCUUCUCUCAUUCCCUCUCCCCUUUAUUUCUUAUUGGCUUUCCCUAUUAAAUCUCUUUCAUGUCUUAAUUCCAUCUUAGCAUUUUGUUUCUGAAGGAACUGAAUUGACCCAAGGAUGUAGCUAAAUAUUUUCCUUUUUUUUCCAUUCUUACAGGCCUUCUUAUUGAGAUGGCAUCUAUUAUUUCAGAAGUUGUCGUAGCAAAAAAAAAAAAAAAAAAAAAAAAAAAAAAGAGAGAAAAAGAGGCAAUGUGGUUGAAAGGUGACUACAAUACAGUGCUAUUGAUAGAUCUGGCCUCUACUAUCUGA